ACAAUAAAAAUACAUUAGAGUGUGAAGUUAGUCAAUAGUUGAAACUCGCAAAAAAUGGGAGCUGAUUCCUUAUUGGUUAAAAUCAAGGCGCGCGCGUAGCGCGCUAUUCAAAUUUCUAAAAUAACCUUAAAUUUGA